rnacentral:rRNA from 1 species
CCUACGGGUGGCAGCAGUGGGGAAUAUUGCACAAUGGGCGAAACCCUGAUGCAGCGACGCCGCGUGAGUGAAGAAGUCUUUCGGUAUGUAAAGCUCUUUUAGCAGGGAAGAAAAUGACGGUACCUGAUUAAUAAGCACCGGCUAACUACGUGCCAGCAGCCGCGGUAAUACGUAGGGGGCAAGCGUUAUCCGGAUUUACUGGGUGUAAAGGGAGCGUAGAGGGCAACAAAAGUACGGAGGUAAAUGCGGGGGCUUAACCCCGGAACUGCUGUUGAAACUGUGCAGCUAGAGUGCAGGAGAGGUAAGUGGAAUGCCUAGUGUAGCGGUGAAAUGCGUAGAUAUUAGGAGGAACACCAGUGGCGAAGGCGGCGUACUGGACUGUAACUGACGCUGAGGCACGAAAGCGUGGGGAGCAAACAGGAUUAGAUACCCCAGUAGUC